rnacentral:lncRNA from 13 species
CUUAUAAAUACAUCACAACAUCACUGUCAGUACACAGUGGGCGGGAGAGACAGGAAGAGAGGAAGAUGUCACAGAAUGGUGAUGGAACAGUUAUUUGUGGCUGUGCUAAUGAUGUCUGCACACCUAGCAGUCUCAUAUCCUCUGAUUACAGAGAGAUAUUACACGGAUGGAGGGAGACAAUGCAGACUGUGUCCACCAGGUCAUUAUCAGAAGUCCUGUUCAGAGUGCUCUCCCUGUCGAGAUGGUUCCUACACAGCACGAUUGAACGCAGAGUCCAGUUGUCAUUCCUGCUUCAAAGACUGCAAACAUGAUUUGCACCUGGUGGAGGAUGAGCCGUGUACUUCUGUAUCGGACGCUAGAUGUCGCUGUGAGGCUGGUUUUACCUGCACCGACAAAGACGACCAGACAGGAAACUGUAGAGACUGUGAGAAGAUCCCUCAGCUGCCCCCACCUCCCCUGCCACCUAGCAAUGUAGUGGGCAUCAGAAUCAACCAGACAGGAACUUCCUCUGAACACAGCAGGACUUCCUCUUUCGCUGGACGCUGUCAACCUCCGAACUGUGACAUUCCACGAUCACCAGUCUCACAACCAGGCAACGCCACUCAUCACACCACAGCUGACACCAGCAAACACUUGGCAGCCAUUUUGUGUCCUAUGGUGGUCAUUGGAAUCCUAGCCGUUAUCAUUCUGUUAUGUAUCCGUCGCCCAGGAAAUGAAGCCUGUUUCAAACAAGCUCUCAAGUUCUGUAACAAGGGAGUAAGAGAAACGUCGCCUAACAAGACCAAAGAGCCACCUCAUCAGCACAAUGCCAGAGAGACACAGCCCAGUAUUAAGCACCAGACAGUGGAUCCACCACCUAUUACAGCAGCAAAUAUAGGCCCGGUCCAUGUCCACAAUGCUGGAACAGUCAUCUUCAGUUUACUCAACCAGUUCACUGGUAUGGGUGGAGGGAUGGAAGAGAGAGUGCAGAAAGAGAGGGAUGAGGAAGGAUGUCCGACCCACCCCACACCCUCCCCUAACAUCCAUCUAUCCCAGGAGGAAAGGGAUGGGGAGAUGGACUGUGUAUUCUUCCCUUCACAGGAACAAGGGAAGGACAGUCACGUUUCCAAAGAGGAGGUGCAUUGAGGGGAGGGGGAUUGAGGACAGAGGACGCACCAAGUGAAAGCUUCCCUUCUAGGAUCAGUUUAGCCAACCAUACAUCCUAAUGUUAAUCAUAAGGAGGAUUAAGACUUACCACUGACCCUGGAUCAGUGGUAAGGGACAACAUCUACCUGGGGCUCUAUUCAGUCUGUAUCACUACAGAUUGCGUGAUAGGAACAGAGGUCAUUUCUGAUUGAGCCAACAUAUGCAGCGUUUAAUGUGAAAGCAGUCGCUUCUGACACAGGAACAUUGCCUUUCCAUUUCUUUCAGGCUGUAAAGCUGCACUUCCGCAAUACAGAUUGAAUAGAGCCCUUUUAUUUAACUAGGCAAGUCAGUUAAGAACAAGUUCUCAUUUUCAAUGACGGCCUAGGAACAGUGGGUUAACUGCCUUGUUCAGGGGCAGAACAACAGAUUUUUACCUUGUCAGCUCAGGGAUUCAACCUUUUGGUUACUAGUCCAAUGCUCUAACCACUAGGCCACCUGCCACUCUUACUCUCAGAACACCAGUGAAUCCCAAAACUCUAGAAUGGUCAUUAUUUCCUGUUCUAGACUUAGAUAGAGCUAGACAUCUCACUAUGGUGGUCAUGUACACAUCCACUUGCUCUCAUUUUAUUCAACUGUAUAAAAAGCUUUGUCUCAACUGCUGCAAACUGUUUUUUUCUGUGUUCAUUUGGCACCUUGAACUGUUUUUUUCUGUGUUCAUUUGGCACCUUGAACUGUUUUUUCACAAAUUAAAAGCAAAAUACGAAAUAUACAUUUUCAGUGAAUACAGGUGAUGGGGCGAUUGUAUGACAUUACAGUAGGCCUGUAACAUUUGUGAUUCUGUUCUUUAAAAUACAGCCACUACUAUGUAAGAGUAAACACUGGCAUAAAGCAUAGAUACAGCAAAAAGCAUAAUAAUUGUAACGAAGGUAUAAAACAUCUUCAACAUAAACAUGUACAGUACAUGUAUUCAGCACACAAGUCUGUCUGUCUGUCUGUCUGUCUGUGUCUGUGUCUGUCUGUCUGUCUGUCUGUCUGUCUGUCUGUCUGUCUCUGUGUCUGUGUCUGUCUGUCUGUCUGUCUGUCUGUCUGUCUGUCUGUCUGUCUGUCUCGUUCACACUCUUCCAGUUACUCUUUCUCGGUCACAGACUCCCACUCCCUCUCUCAUCUUUAGCCUGUGUCUUCAUACUUCAAAGUGUCUUUUUGUCCUAUUUUCUUGUCCUUUCUGAAACUCCUAGAUACAGAAGCCACUGCAUUAAACCAAUACAGCAGCCUGUCUAGCCUUCAGGUUAGUUUCACUUCAAUGGGAAUGUGAGGUAGUCUGUUUGUCUCCUGGGUCUCCCAGCUCACUUGUGAGUUCUCAUCCUCUCCUUUGACACUGACUUCCUCCAUCAAACGUCUAGUAGCAGCUCUGGCUUUCCACACACUUCCUGGACCGGCAUGGGCACUUCCUCCUCCGCUGUGCUCUGAUUGGCUGGAGUUGUCUUUUUGGGAGACCAGAAGCCUGAUGGACCAAUAAGAUGAGGGUUAGGUCAAAUGUGCAUGCAUAUGUAUUGUGUUCAAUAGAACUACAGGACAGAUCAACAGUGACGUGGACUUACUGUUUGGUGAACCAAUCCAUCGCAGAAAAGGUUUGAGCUUUGAGAUGGCAACAAGGCAG